GACGUAGGAGGCGAGCGUUGUCCGGAUUCAUUGGGCGUAAAGAGCACGCAGGCGGUUUGGCAAGUCGGACGUGAAAAUCCGGGGCUCAACCCCGGACCUGCAUCCGAAACUGCCCGACUAGAGGUAGGUAGGGGAGAUCGGAAUUCCUGGUGUAGCGGUGAAAUGCGCAGAUAUCAGGAGGAACACCGGUGGCGAAGGCGGAUCUCUGGGCCACUACUGACGCUGAGAAGCGAAAGCAUGGGGAGCGAACAGG
rnacentral:rRNA from 1 species